rnacentral:rRNA from 1 species
UACGUAGGGUGCAAGCGUUAUCCGGAAUUAUUGGGCGUAAAGAGCUCGUAGGCGGUUUGUCGCGUCUGCUGUGAAAACCCGAGGCUCAACCUCGGGCCUGCAGUGGGUACGGGCAGACUAGAGUGCGGUAGGGGAGAUUGGAAUUCCUGGUGUAGCGGUGGAAUGCGCAGAUAUCAGGAGGAACACCGAUGGCGAAGGCAGAUCUCUGGGCCGUUACUGACGCUGAGGCGCGAAAGCGUGGGGAGCAAACAGG